CAGCUGGUGGGGACCACAGCGGUGAACUCGGGUGGCCGCUGGGACUCAGCGGUCAUGGAGAGCCUAGCGGUGAAGUACCUGAGCCAGGAGGAAGCCCAGGCUGUAGACCAAGAGCUGUUUAACCAGUACCAGUUCAACGUGGACCAACUUAUGGAGCUGGCCAGGCUGAGCUGUGCCACAGCCAUCGCCACGGCAUACCCCCCACGUCCAUGUUCAGGAGCCCUCUACUGUCCUGGUCAUCUGUGGCCUGGGGAAUAAUGGAGGAGAUGGUCUGAUCUGUGCUGGACACCUCAAACUCUUUGGCUACCAGCCAAGCAUCUAUUACCCCAAAAGGCCUAACAAGCUCCUCUUCAUUGCGUUGGUGACCCAGUGUCAGAAAAUGGACAUCCCUUUCCUUGGGGAAAUGCGCUCAGAGCCCGUGAUGAUUGAGCUGUAUGAGCUGGUGGUGGAUGCUGCCUGUGGCUUCAGCUUCAAGGGUGACGUUCGGGAACCGUUCCACGGCAUCCUGAGUGUCCUGAAGGGACUUACUGCGUCCAUUGCCAGCAUCAACAUUCCCUCAGGAUGGGAUGUGGAGAAGGAAACUCUGCAGGGAUCCAGCCAGACGUGCUCAUCUACCUCACAGCACCCAAAAAAUCUGCAACCCAUGUUACCAGAAGCCACCAGGGGUCGUUUUGUGCCACCUGCUCUGGAAAAGAAGUAACAGCUGAACCUGCCCCCUGCCCUGAUACUGAGUGUGUCUAUGGUCUGCAGUGAGGGAAGGUGGGUGGGUAUUCUUCCCAAUAAAGACUUAGAAUCCC